rnacentral:rRNA from 1 species
UACGUAGGCAGCGAGCGUUGUUCGGAGUUACUGGGCGUAAAGCGCGUGUAGGCGGUCCGGUAAGUCCGCUGUGAAAGUCGGGGGCUCAACCCUCGAAUGCCGGUGGAUACUGUCGGGCUAGAGUGCGGAAGAGGCGAGUGGAAUUCCUGGUGUAGCGGUGAAAUGCGCAGAUAUCAGGAGGAACACCAAUUGCGAAGGCAGCUCGCUGGGACGUAACUGACGCUGAGACGCGAAAGCGUGGGGAGCAAACAGG